rnacentral:lncRNA from 1 species
GCCGGCAGAGGCAGGCGCUGGGCUGCAGGCAGACACCGGUGGCCAAUUCGUGCCUCAUGACUCAUGGGCAGGCUCCUCUUCGGUGACAGCCGGGACAGUUGCUGGUUAUUUGUAGCCCCCCGGCUUUCAUUUGGCUGUAAUUAAGCAGUGGUCGGAGGGUCACUGCGCAGCGGCCGGGGUUCGCCCGUUUUAAUCACGCGCCGAGUCCCAGGGCAGCGGGGAGUGGCCGCGAGGCCGGCAAGGGCGCACGGCCAGGGCAGCGGUCCCUGAGAACGCGCGCUGCCCAUCGCUCUCGGUGACAGCGGCCGGACCAGGCCCACGUUCUGUCCAGCCCGGGGGAGCCUGCUGGGUGACACCGCGCUCGCCCCAGAAGAGGUCACUGAAGAUUUAUCUGUAUCAAUCUGGCUGAGAACUGAAUUUCUACAUCUUAGAGAGUUUUCAGGAAGGAAGGAUUGUGAGUUCAGGAAAUACUCCGCAUUCUCCAAAGCCUGCGUUGUUGCCGCUUGCAUCUGCUGUGAGAACUUACUGAAAGAAACCAUUUCUCCAGAAGACAAAUAUCAUUUCCGGAAGAUGUGUUGAUUCAUCAGUAGAGAGGUUGAGUGAAGUCAAGGAUGCCCUCAGUUCGAGAUCUGAGGCCAACUAGGAAUUGAAGCUUGGUUCUGAAGAGCCCUUCCCCCUGCCACUCCGUGCCAGAAGUGAAGACUGACUAAGGUUGGCAAGGUUAAGCCUGGUUCGCCCCUGGAGCUGACCGCAGAGUGGGCACCAAAUAAAAACCCCCUUUCUAUUGCCCACACCGCUCUUAUCUCUUGAGUAGAGAUUUCUUAGCAAUAUGAAGAAAUUAGUUUCCUGGUCCUAUUCUUAGGAACAUAUAUUCUGUCUGUCUGAUUAAACUAAAUUUAUUGUGGUAAAAAUAUACCUAACAUAAAAGUUAACAUUUGGUGUUACACAACUUUCCCUGAAGUCCACUUCCAGAACUCUUUUUAUCUUCCUGAACUCUCAUCGACUAAACAAUUCCUCAUUUCCCCUUCUGCAAACUUUUGUAAACCAUGACUCUACUUCCUGUCUCCUGAAUUUGACUUCAUUAUCUCGAAUGAGUAGAAUCAGGUAUUAUUUGCCCUUUUGUGC